rnacentral:rRNA from 1 species
AUACGUAGGUGACAAGCGUUAUCCGGAUUUACUGGGCGUAAAGGGCGUGUAGGCGGUCUUGCAAGUCAGAAGUGAAAUUCCUGAGCUCAACUCGGGCGCUGCUUCUGAAGCUGCAGGACUUGAGUGCUGGAGGGGAUAGCGGAAUUCCUAGUGGAGCGGUAAAAUGCGCAGAUAUUAGGAAGAACGCCGGUGGCGAAGGCGGCUAUCUGGACAGUAACUGACGCUGAGGCGCGAAAGCGUGGGGAGCAAACAGGAUUAGAUCCCCUGGUAGUCCACGCCGUAAACGAUGAAUACUAGGUGUAGGGGGUAUCGACUCCCUCUGUGCCGCAGUUAACACAAUAAGUAUUCCGCCUGGGGAGUACGGCCGCAAGGUUGAAACUCAAAUGAAUUGACGGGG